UAUUCCAACCAGACCAGAGUGGUGAUUGUUGGAACAGUGGAAAGAUGAACCAAGACGGCUUUUGGUAGUUUGGUUUAGUUUUUGUCCUCUUUGAGUGAAGUGUGUGUAACGAUGAUAAAAUGCCUGUUCUCAGACUCGAUCCAGAGAGCGAUGUGUGAGGCGUUCAAGGUGCCUGCGGGGUCCGAGUGUCGUCUCUGGAUGAAGAGUUCAGAGAGCAGCUGCGAGCGUCUCAGGAACGUGCACGUGAGCGUGCUGGACGCCUGUCUGAGCUCCGGCAUGACGGUGAUCAUGGAGAUGAGAAACGCAGACGGUACCUGGCCGAGCUCCAGACCUCAGAUCAUGAGGAACUCUGUGGAGGAGCAGGACUCGUACCGGGGACAGCCGGGAGUCUGUGGCCUCACAAACCUGGGAAACACCUGCUUCAUGAACUCUGCUCUGCAGGUCACACACUCACACACACACACACACAC